AUACAAAAGAAUGAAUACUUGUAGCGAUUUUGGAACGCUGGUGUACCUCACCAAGGUGGAAAUACGGAAAGGUAGUAUAUAGGACUAGGCAAACUCCAAAUGGUUGUUUGCGGACAAUAGCGAGGCAAAGUCGGCGGAAGUUUAAAAAGACUUGAAUGAAAGAACAACUAGGUAUUCUUUUUACAGAUUAAUAAAAGGAACAGGAUUUUAAAAUGGAUAGUUAACCUUCCAAGUGUUGAAAAAAAAAUUAAAAACAAAAGCCAAAUUAAUGACUUAAAAGUCCAAGUAACUUUUUUGAAAUAAAGUUUGGUCAGUUCAUAAAACAAGUAUUUUCUUUUUUUUUUUUUUUUUUUGAGAAAAAAGAGGAUUUGUUUACAGAAAAAAACAGGAAAGCAGAAAGACAGCGGUUUGAAUAGCACAAGCUGAACUAGCUUAUUUAUAACGAAAUUUUAAGUAAAUACUGGAGACAAAGGUUAGUUAUCCUCCCCCAAUAAGAUAACUGAGAAAAAGUCGAUUAAGAUAAAAUUAUGGAGAGAGAAAUCAAAAGAAAGAAGAAAGGCCUAAAAUAAUAAGAAGAUUGUAUAAUGACUAUGGAUUACUACUUUAAAAUAUAUCUCUUAAUAUCACAGUAUAUAAACACUCUUGACUAUUAGUGUGGAAAUUGAUGAUGGAUUGCAAAGAAAAGAUGAGCGGAUAGUUUCUAGAAAAAAUUUUGGAAUUCAAAAGACGAAGCAGUGAUGUAAAUAGCUUUUUUGCAGAGUUUCUUAUGUUGAAAUUGAAUAAUUACAUAGAAACUUGAAGGUUCAAGGUUCAUAAAAACGGAGAAAAUGGGAUAUAAUAGCAAAUAAAAGAGAGAAACAGAUAUUAUGUUUGUUUUUUAGAAAGAAUCUCAACAAAUUACAGAUAUUUUGAUUGUAUUGGAAUACUAAACAAAAAAAUAUGUAAGUAAAUAGUCAAGUGAGCAAAGUAGAACAAUGCUGGCCACGCGUUAAAGGGGGAAAGGUGGUUAGCGAAGAAUGGAAUGUUUUCAACUCAUUAUUGCCAUUCUACGAAUAUAAAAACACCUAAAUUGUAAAAAAAAAUAAAAAAAAUAAAGCAAGCAAGUUUAAGUGAUAAAGGAGGAAGCUAAUUAGUUAUGAAAUUGAGAAUAAUUUUUGGUCUUAUUCAGAAUUAAUAAUAAUUCGUCUGUUCCUAAGUGAAUAUAGAAAGCAGACUCCAAACGUGCGUAUCCAAGCGCAUUCUAUUACUUUUAUUUUAGUAGGUAAAUGAUAAAAAGUUCAAUUUGAGGCCGCUUUUGAUGCAUCAACAUUUUGCGACAAUUUUACUUAGGAAUUGGCUACCGUUAACGGCACUCAGAAUUGUUUGAGGAUGAGGCUCUGAUGGUAAACAAUAGAUGGCGGUGCUCAAAAGAUGGUAUGAAGAGGUAAUUUGUAGCGCGUUUGAGAAAGAGAAGGAAAAGUAUUUCUGUUUUACAACAUCUAUGAAAGAGCAUCCUGUUAUGUUGGCCACAUUGAAAAUGUCAACCUAUUUGAGGUCCAAAUUAAACCCUUUUCAACAUUUGUAAAUAUUUCAUGGGUUUGAGAUUUUCAUUUAGUACAAUAUUACUAUACACUUGUCAGAGAUAUCUUUUACACCAUAUGUGUAUUUGCAUCGAGCACUCAAUAUCCAGCGGAUCGCAUACAUCAUUCUUUUGGCAGAACAAUAACUCAAAUUUAAA